rnacentral:rRNA from 1 species
AUUGAACGCUGGCGGAAUGCUUUACACAUGCAAGUCGAGCGGCAGCGCGGGGGCAACCCUGGCGGCGAGCGGCGAACGGGUGAGUAAUACAUCGGAACGUGUCCUUAAGUGGGGGAUAGCUCGGCGAAAGCCGGAUUAAUACCGCAUAAGCUCUGAGGAGGAAAGCGGGGGCUCCGUAAGGACCUCGCGCUGUUGGAGCGGCCGAUGUCGGAUUAGCUAGUUGGUGGGGUAAAGGCCCACCAAGGCGACGAUCCGUAGCUGGUCUGAGAGGAUGAUCAGCCACACUGGAACUGAGACACGGUCCAGACUCCUACGGGAGGCAGCAGUGGGGAAUUUUGGACAAUGGGCGCAAGCCUGAUCCAGCGAUGCCGCGUGUGUGAAGGAAGGCCUGGCGGGGUGUAAAGCACUUUCAGUAGGGAAGAAAGACCGAGUGCUAAUAUCACUCGGUCUUGACGUUACUUACAGAAGAA